rnacentral:rRNA from 1 species
CUACGGGUUGCUGCAGUGAGGAAUAUUGGGCAAUGGGCGAAAGCCUGACCCAGCGAUACCGCGUGAGUGAUGAAGGCCCUCGGGUUGUAAAGCUCUUUUAAUGGGGAAGAUAAUGACGGUACCUAUUGAAUAAGCUCCGGCUAACUCCGUGCCAGCAGCCGCGGUAAGACGGAGGGGGCUAGCGUUAUUCGGAUUUACUGGGCGUAAAGGGUGUGUAGGUGGAUAUGAAAGUUGUGGGUGAAAUUCCAAGGCUCAACCUUGGGACUGCUUGCAAAACUUCAUAUCUAGAGAUCAAGAGAGGGUAAUGGAAUUCCUAGUGUAGAGGUGAAAUUCGUAGAUAUUAGGAGGAACACCAAUGGCGAAGGCAAUUACCUGGAUUGAAUCUGACAUUGAGGCACGAAAGCGUGGGUAGCAAACAGGAUUAGAUACCCUCGUAGUC